rnacentral:rRNA from 1 species
AGUGAACGCUGGCGGUAGGCCUAACACAUGCAAGUCGAACGGCAGCACAGUAAGAGCUUGCUCUUACGGGUGGCGAGUGGCGGACGGGUGAGGAAUACAUCGGAAUCUACUUUUUCGUGGGGGAUAACGUAGGGAAACUUACGCUAAUACCGCAUACGACCUACGGGUGAAAGCAGGGGAUCUUCGGACCUUGCGCGAUUGAAUGAGCCGAUGUCGGAUUAGCUAGUUGGCGGGGUAAAGGCCCACCAAGGCGACGAUCCGUAGUUGGCCUGAGAGGAUGAUCAGCCACACUGGAACUGAGACACGGUCCAGACUCCUACGGGAGGCAGCAGUGGGGAAUAUUGGACAAUGGGCGCAAGCCUGAUCCAGCCAUACCGCGUGGGUGAAGAAGGCCUUCGGGUUGUAAAGCCCUUUUGUUGGGAAAGAAAAGCAGCAGGUUAAUACCCCGCUGUUCUGACGGUACCCAAAGAAUAAGCACCGGCUAACUUCGUG